GACGAACGCUGGCGGCGUGCUUAACACAUGCAAGUCGAACGGAAAGGCCCUGCUUUUGUGGGGUGCUCGAGUGGCGAACGGGUGAGUAACACGUGAGUAACCUGCCCUUGACUUUGGGAUAACUUCAGGAAACUGGGGCUAAUACCGGAUAGGAGCUCCUGCUGCAUGGUGGGGGUUGGAAAGUUUCGGCGGUUGGGGAUGGACUCGCGGCUUAUCAGCUUGUUGGUGGGGUAGUGGCUUACCAAGGCUUUGACGGGUAGCCGGCCUGAGAGGGUGACCGGCCACAUUGGGACUGAGAUACGGCCCAGACUCCUACGGGAGGCAGCAGUGGGGAAUAUUGCACAAUGGGCGGAAGCCUGAUGCAGCAACGCCGCGUGCGGGAUGACGGCCUUCGGGUUGUAAACCGCUUUCGCCUGUGACGAAGCGUGAGUGACGGUAAUGGGUAAAGAAGCACCGGCUAACUACGUGCCAGCAGCCGCGGUGAUACGUAGGGUGCGAGCGUUGUCCGGAUUUAUUGGGCGUAAAGGGCUCGUAGGUGGUUGAUCGCGUCGGAAGUGUAAUCUUGGGGCUUAACCCUGAGCGUGCUUUCGAUACGGGUUGACUUGAGGAAGGUAGGGGAGAAUGGAAUUCCUGGUGGAGCGGUGGAAUGCGCAGAUAUCAGGAGGAACACCAGUGGCGAAGGCGGUUCUCUGGGCCUUUCCUGACGCUGAGGAGCGAAAGCGUGGGGAGCGAACAGGCUUAGAUACCCUGGUAGUCCACGCUGUAAACGGUGGGUACUAGGUGUGGGGUCCAUUCCACGGGUUCCGUGCCGUAGCUAACGCUUUAAGUACCCCGCCUGGGGAGUACGGCCGCAAGGCUAAAACUCAAAGGAAUUGACGGGGCCCCGCACAAGCGGCGGAGCAUGCGGAUUAAUUCGAUGCAACGCGCAGAACCUUACCUGGGUUUGACAUGGAUCGGGAGUGCUCAGAGAUGGGUGUGCCUCUUUUGGGGUCGGUUCACAGGUGGUGCAUGCCUGUCGUCAGCUCGUGUCGCGAGAUGUUGGGUUAAGUCCCGCAACGAGCGCAACCCUUGUUCACUGUUGCCAGCACGUUAUGGUGGGGACUCAGUGGAGACCGCCGGGGUCAACUCGGAGGAAGGUGGGGAUGACGUCAAGUCCUCAUGCCCCUUAUGUCCAGGGCUUCACGCAUGCUACAAUGGCUGGUACAGAGAGUGGCGAGCCUGUGAGGGUGAGCGAAUCUCGGAAAGCCGGUCUCAGUUCGGAUUGGGGUCUGCAACUCGACCUCAUGAAGUCGGAGUCGCUAGUAAUCGCAGAUCAGCAACGCUGCGGUGAAUACGUUCCCGGGGCUUGUACACACCGCCCGUCAAGUCAUGAAAGUUGGUAACACCCGAAGCCGGUGGCCUAACCGUUGUGGGGGAGCCGUCGAAGGUGGGACUGGUGAUUAGG
rnacentral:rRNA from 1 species